GAAGCCUAAUUCUAGUGAGCCCAAAUCUGACACGACAGAGUCACCCAUUCCUCCUGGUUCUGGUCAUGGCCAUGGUCGUGGCAAGCCAAUGCCUCCGUCAGGUCUUCCUUCUUUUUCAUCAUUUUUAUCUUCCAUAAAUCAGCCACCUGCUGGUCGAGGCCGACCUACUGUCCCCCACCAUCAAAAUGAUUUGCAGUCACCUGCUGGUCGUGGCCGACCUACUGUGCCCCACCAUCAAAAUGAUUUGCAGUCACCUGCUGGUCGUGGCCGACCUACUGUGCCCCGCCAUCAAAAUGAUUUGCAGUCACCUGCUGGUCGUGGCCGAGCUACUGUACCUCAACCUCCAAAUGAUUUGGGGCCACCAGAUUCUGGACCCAAAAAGCCCAUUUUCUUCAAAAGAGAGGACAUUGCUUCUCCAACAACAAGAGAUGAUUUCCCUAUUGAUGUUGAGCAAGCUA
rnacentral:lncRNA from 1 species